rnacentral:lncRNA from 1 species
GCGCGUGUUCAAGAGUAGCUAAAGCUAGAUGUAAAACAAAACUCAAGUCGUAAACAAAAAGGACUCGGACUAAAUAAAGGGAGCGCAGCCCCUGGAGUCCGAAGGGGUCACGGCGCCCAACCCUAAGCGCCCCACCUGGGCUGCCCUGUUGGGUCAUCUUCUUAUUCCGAUGGGCCUUCGUUCCUUAACAGCAUGAUGAAGUUUAAUUCUCUCGCACGGGCUCGAGUGAUUGGCCCAACUGGAUGAGCAACUGUAGGCGCCUGAGGUGGAGGAGCAACUGGAGGCGCCUGAGGUGCUGCUGGUGUAGAUGUACUCGUGGUGUCCUCAUCAUCCUCCCCUUCUUGAACUGAAGUCGUCCUCGACGGCAACUCCUCAUCUUCGCCCACAUACGGUUUCAAAUCUGCAACAUUAAAACUCGUGGAAACACCAAACUCCGCAGGCAGGUCAAGGAUAUAAGCAUUAUCAUUAAUCUUGGUUAGCACUUUAAAAGGACCAGCAGCACGUGGCAUCAAUUUAGAACGACGUAAGGUAGGAAAACGAUCCUUCCUCAAAUGCAACCAAACCAGAUCACCCGGUGCAAAAGUAACAUGUUUUCUCCCUUUACUACCCGCAACCUGAUAUUUAGCAUUAGCAGCAGCAAUGUUUUGUUGAGUUUGCUCAUGCAAGCUAAUCAUUUGUUCAACAUGUGCAGCGGCAUCUAUGUGUGGGGUGUCCUCGGCAUCAAGUGCAAACAAAUCAAUAGGCGCCCGAGGAAUAUAACCAUAAACAACUUGAAAAGGACACAUCUUUGUAGAAGAAUGCGUUGCAUGAUUAUAAGCAAACUCAACAUGAGGCAAGCAAUCUUCCCAACGUUUCAAGUGUUUAUCUAAAACAGCCCUAAGCAUAGUGGACAAGGUUCGAUUAACCACCUCAGUUUGUCCAUCAGUUUGAGGGUGACAAGUGGUGCUAAACAGCAAUUUAGUUCCCAUUUUAUUCCAUAGUGAUCUCCAAAAAUGACUGAGAAACUUAGCAUCACGAUCAGAGACUAUUGUAUUUGGAAUACCAUGCAAACGAAUAAUCUCGCGAAAGAACAAUUCAGCAACAUUGCUAGCAUCAUCAGUCUUAUGACAAGGUAUAAAAUGAGCCAUUUUGGAGAAACGAUCAACAACCACAAAAAUACUGUCCCUCCCCUUCUUAGUUCUAGGCAAUCCCAAAACAAAGUCCAUAGAAAUAUCAAGCCAAGGGGAAGUAGGAACAGGCAAAGGCAUGUACAAACCAUGGUUGUUUAAUCGUGACUUAGCUUUCUGGCAAGUAGUGCAGCGGGCAACAAGGCGCUCAACAUCAGCGCGCAUCCGGGGCCAAAAGAAGUGGGCAGCCAGCACUUCAUGCGUCUUGUAGACGCCAAAGUGCCCCAUGAGACCGCCUCCAUGCGCUUCCUGUAACAACAAACGACGAACCGAGCUAGCUGGAACACACAGCUUGUUAGCGCGAAACAGGAACCCGUCCUGUAUGUGAAAUUUGCCCCAUGGUUUGCCAUGAAUACAGUGGGCGAAAGCAUCUUUAAAAUCAGCAUCAUCCACAUAUUGAUCCUUCACAGUUUGCAAGCCAAAGAUUUUAAAAUCUAACUGGGACAGCAUGGUAUAGCGACGAGACAAAGCAUCAGCAAUGACAUUUUCCUUCCCGCUCUUGUGUUUAAUAAUGUAAGGGAAAGACUCAAUGAAUUCUACCCAUUUAGCAUGACGACGGUUCAGGUUUGUUUGGGUACGAAUAUGUUUUAAAGCCUCAUGAUCAGAAUGAAUUAUAAACUCGCGAUGCCAAAGGUAGUGCUGCCAAGUAUGCAAAGUGCGCACUAAAGCAUAAAGCUCCUUAUCAUAAGUAGAAUAAUUCAAGCUAGCACCACUUAAUUUCUCACUAAAGUAAGCAACCGGUUUUCCUUCUUGUAACAAAACAGCACCUAGCCCAAUACCGCUAGCAUCGCAUUCAAGCUCAAACACUUUAGUAAAAUCAGGCAACUGCAAGAGAGGAGCAUUGGUUAACUUAUCUUUCAAGGUGCUGAACGCAACCUCUUGCGAAUCACUCCAAGCAAAGGGAACAUCCUUCUUUGUAAGCUCAUGUAGAGGCGCUGCAAUGGAGCUAAAAUCACGAACAAACCGGCGGUAGAAACCUGCAAGGCCAAGAAAGCUUCGAAUUUGUGUGACCGUUGUCGGUGUAGGCCACUCCCGAAUGGCAUCAAUCUUGCUGCUAUCCACCUCAAUGCCCUGUGGAGUAACAACAUAGCCAAGAAACGAGACACGUUGUGUGCAAAACAUGCAUUUUUCGAGGUUAGCAAAUAAAUGGGCCGCACGCAAUGCAUCAAAAACAGCACGCAAAUGUUCUAAAUGCUCUUCCAUAGACUUGCUGUAAAUGAGGAUAUCAUCAAAAUAGACAACUACAAACAAUCCUAUGAAGGGCCUCAGAACUUCAUUCAUCAAACGCAUAAAUGUGCUGGGAGCAUUUGUCAAACCAAACGGCAUACCCAACCAUUCGUUUUAAAAGCCGUUUUCCAUUCAUCACCUAAUUUCAUGCGAAUCUGAUGGUAGCCACUACGCAAAUCAAUCUUAGUGAAAAUAAUGGCACCACUAAGCUCAUCUAGCAUAUCAUCAAGGCGUGGUAUAGGGUAUCGGUAGCGAAUGGUAAUGUUAUUAAUAGCACGACAGUCUACACACAUACGCCAUGAGCCAUCUUUCUUUGGAACAAGUAACACAGGAACGGAGCAAGGGCUAAGAGACUCACGAAUAUAACCCUUGUCAAGCAACGCCUACCUGGCGCUGGAUUUCCUUCAUCUCAUCUUUAAGAAUUUGUUCAGGUGUCAUUGGAUGUAUAAUUAUUUUCUGACCCUUAAACAUGAAAGAAUAGUGAUUUGAACGACCAUGAUGCAAGCUAUCAGUAUCAUAUUGCCAAGGUCGCCCAAGUAACAGAGAGCAUGCUUCCAUGGGAAUAACAUCACAAUCGACAAAAUCAGAAUAAGCACCCAUGGAGAAAGGAACACGGACUGAUCGAGUAAUUCUAAUUUUCCCACCAUCAUUAAGCCAUUGAAUGUGAUAUGGAUGUGGAUGCUUACGAGUGGGUAAAGACAACUUUUCAACCAGCGUGGUACUCGCCAAAUUGUUGCAGCUGCCGCUGUCGAUGAUGAUGCGAAUCGACCGCUCCUGCACAACGCCCUUGGUAUGGAAAAGAGUGUGUCGCUGAUUCUUCUCGGACGGGGCGACCUGUGUACUAAGAACACGCUGCACAACAAGGCUUUCAUACCUAUCGGCGUCGCCCGGGUUGACAUGUACCUCCAUAGCUGCAUGGUCAGUGGCAAGCAUCGCAUGUCGAGUAUCUUCAGAAUCACUAGCGGAAGAGUACUCACCAUCGUCACGAAGAAGCAAAGUGCGCUUGUUCGGACAGUCCCGAAUCACAUGGCCAAAUCCUUUGCAACGAUGACACUGAAUAUCCCGUGUACGGCCUGUGGGAGGGGCGGCGCCUGUGGAAGGGGCAGCGCUGGCAGGUUUGGCCGUUCGCUCGCGCGGUGUAGUGGUGGGCGUGGGUGGCGCAGGGAGAGCGGGUGCGGAGGUGGAUGUCGAGGUUCUUCCUGCAAAAGAGUUAGAAUAUGUCUUCGAGCGGCGUCCCUGCACUUCACGUUCAGCUUUGCAAGCAUAUUCAAAUAAUGUUGUCAUAUCCGUGUAGUCCUUAUAAUCAAGUAUAUCCUGAAUUUCGCGGUUCAAACCACCACGAAAACGUGCCAUAGCAGCGUCGUUUUCCUCCAAUAACCCACAACGAAUCAUGCCUAUUUGUAAUUCCUGGAAAUAUUCCUCAACAGAUUUGGAACCUUGCUGAAAACGUUGCAUUUUAUUAAGCAAAUCGCGAGCAUAAUAAGAAGGCACAAAUCUGUGGCGCAUAGCAGUUUUUAAUUGCUCCCAAGUGGUUGGAAUGGUAUUGGGAUGUUUGUGUUUAUAUUCACGCCACCAGAUUAAAGCAAAAUCAGUAAAUUCACUAAUAGCAGCUUUAACUUGAGAAUUAGCAAGAAUAUCAUGGCAUGAAAAUUUCUGUUCAACUUCUAAUUCCCAAUCAAGAUAUGCAGCAGGAUCAUAUUUGCCAUUAAAAGGUGGAAUUUUAAAUUUAAUCUUGGAAAAGGAAUCAUUACCACCGGGACGGCGUGGCACGCGGCGGGCACGGCCACGGCGGUCGCCAUCAUCCUGGUCCGAGUCACCACCAUAACCCUGCUGCAACUCUGCGACUGUAGUGUGCAAUGCAUCGAGUCUUGCCACAACUGAGUCGAGUGUGGCCUUAGCGGCCGUCUGUGCAAGGUCGAGCUGAUCACACCGCUCGGUCGUCGAGGAGAUCGUCGAGUCCAGCCGUUCAUGAAUCGUCUGAAUGUCGGUGACAAGCCCUUCAACUUGCGCCCGUAUGCCCUGCAGCUGGUCAGCCCCCGCGUCGACAUCAUCUGCCAUGGUUAGCGCAAAGACAAGAACACAAGCGACGACAAAAUUGGGGUGUAACAGCUCACAAGGCGCUCACACUAGUGCUGUUAUCAAAUUCUUAUCCGUUCUUACCACGCACACAGGGGCGAACUGCAACCAACCGGUGGAACUCACGAAAGAUUGGAGGAGCGAUUGCCUGGAGAAACAAAAUGUGCUCGUCGUAGAACUAUGUGGAGUUCUGGGAAGGCUGCACUCAAAUGAAGGAUUAGCACAAUCAAACAAUAAUGCAAAGUUGAAAGAUAGUGCCAAACACGUAACAAGAGUUGCUGGUAACAAGGAAAAAUCGAAAGAACAGAGGCAAGGUGGAGAGGGCGCACCUCUUUUUUUUUUUUAUUUCUGUUUUUUUUUUUUUACUACAGAGGGUGCCCCAAAACUGAUAAUAUGAACACAGAGGAUCUCAAAUAUCAAAUUGCGGCACACACUUUUUCCGAAAUGACAGGGGUAUUCCGGUAAAAAAAAGAGUAAGGCGAACCUCAGAAUAAUAAAGGACCAAGAAAGAGAGAUACGGAUUUGAAAGGCUGGCACGGAAUGCGUGGGGGGGGAGGAAUCGUGACCCAGGAGGAGUCACGGCGCGCGCAAAGGGAGGUUCCACCGAAACAAAUCCGAAUCACCUUCCUUCUCCCUGUUGGAUUCUUCUUCGUCUUUUUUUUUUUUUGCUUCUUUCCUUUUUUUUUUUGCACUUUCCUUUUUUUUUUCUGAUUGCUUUCGAUCUUUUUUUUUUUGACAGGGGAGGGGCGAUCGGAGUAGUGGAAUGGUGCGGCGUGGUUGUCGCGGGGGGAGUUGUGGUGGGCGCGGCUGGUAGGGUUGGCGAGCAGCGGAACGGCGGCGGCGGCGAAAACUAGGGUUAGAUGAAAAACGAGAAACAAGAGAUUAAACACCAGUAACCAGCAACAAUUGAACGAGUAGGCACACAAAUUCAACAAAGACACUUAUUGAAAGAAUGUGCGAGGCUAAACGGUUGCUGGGACAAAGGAUCUAACCUGAAAAAAAUUUGUUUUGGUUUUUGUGGACUGUAGGAAGGGAAAAACACUCGGUAAAACUCACCGAUCAACCUGGAAAGCUGAUACCACUUGAUAGAGUCGGAGUGCCCGAUCUUUCGGUGAGUGGAGAUAAAUUCGACUUGGUGGAAGUAGACCCUCACGAUCCGACUACGAUGAGCGAACCCGAAGCGCCAAUGCAAUCGCUGAACCAACUUCCGAUGGUUACCAACCUCGCCGGUGCGAGAUCAGCCUGAUCACGAAGAUCGAUUCCUGUCCGCAAUCGAAGAACGAACAAGAAAAAGAGGCGAGCAAUCUAAAUAUCACUCGAAGGUGGAGUUCUGAAUCACAAGGACAGCGCGUAUUUGCGCGUGUUCAAGAGUAGCUAAAGCUAGAUGUAAAACAAAACUCAAGUCGUAAACAAAAAGGACUCGGACUAAAUAAAGGGAGCGCAGCCCCUGGAGUCCGAAGGGGUCACGGCGCCCAACCCUAAGCGCCCCACCUGGGCUGCCCUGUUGGGUCAUCUUCUUAUUCCGAUGGGCCUUCGUUCCUUAACAGCAUGAUGAAGUUUAAUUCUCUCGCACGGGCUCGAGUGAUUGGCCCAACUGGAUGAGCAACUGUAGGCGCCUGAGGUGGAGGAGCAACUGGAGGCGCCUGAGG